GUAGGUGGCAAGCGUUGUCCGGAAUUAUUGGGCGUAAAGCGCGCGCAGGCGGUUCUUUAAGUCUGAUGUGAAAGCCCACGGCUCAACCGUGGAGGGUCAUUGGAAACUGGAGAACUUGAGUACAGAAGAGGAAAGCGGAAUUCCACGUGUAGCGGUGAAACGCGUAGAGAUGUGGAGGAACACCAGUGGCGAAGGCGGCUUUCUGGUCUGUAACUGACGCUGAGGCGCGAAAGCGUGGGGAGCAAACAGGGAUUAGAUACCCUGGUAGUCCACGCCGUAAACGAUGAGUGCUAAGUGUUAGGGGGUUUCCCGCCCCUUAGUGCUGCAGCUAACGCAUUAAGCACUCCGCCUGGGGGAUACGGCCGCAAGGCUG
rnacentral:rRNA from 1 species